rnacentral:rRNA from 1 species
GGAGGAAAGUAGGGGAUCGCAAGACCUUGCGCUAAAGGAGCGGCUGAUGUCUGAUUAGCUAGUUGGUGGGGUAAGGGCUUACCAAGGCGACGAUCAGUAGUUGGUCUGAGAGGAUGGCCAACCACACUGGGACUGAGACACGGCCCAGACUCCUACGGGAGGCAGCAGUGGGGAAUUUUGGACAAUGGGGGAAACCCUGAUCCAGCAAUGCCGCGUGAGUGAAGAAGGCCUUCGGGUUGUAAAGCUCUUUCAGUUGAGAAGAAAAGGUUAUGACUAAUAAUCAUGAUUCAUGACGGUAUCGACAGAAGAAGCACCGGCUAACUACGUGCCAGCAGCCGCGGUAAUACGUAGGGUGCGAGCGUUAAUCGGAAUUACUGGGCGUAAAGGGUGCGCAGGCGGUUAUGUAAGUCAGAUGUGAAAUCCCCGGGCUUAACCUGGGAAUUGCGUUUGAAACUACAAAGCUAG